GUGGCUCAGCUUGGUAGAGCACCUGGUUUGGGACCAGGGGGUCGCAGGUUCAAAUCCUGUC
rnacentral:tRNA from 1 species